UACGUAGGUGGCAAGCGUUAUCCGGAAUUAUUGGGCGUAAAGCACGCGCAGGUGGUUCCUUAAGUCUGAUGUGAAAGCCCCCGGCUCAACCGGGGAGGGUCAUUGGAAACUGGGGAACUUGAGUGUAGAAGAGGAAAGUGGAAUUCCACGUGUAGCGGUGAAAUGCGUAGAGAUGUGGAGGAACACCGAUGGCGAAGGCAGCCCCCUGGGCCGACACUGACGCUCAGGCACGAAAGCGUGGGGAGCAAACAGG
rnacentral:rRNA from 1 species